rnacentral:rRNA from 1 species
UACAUGGGGUGCAAACGUUGCUCGGAAUUAUUGGGCGUAAAGCGCGCGUAGGCGGUUACUUAUGUCGGAUGUGAAAGCCCUCGGCUUAACUGAGGAAGUGCAUUCGAAACUGGGUAGCUAGAGUACUAAAGAGGGUCGCGGAAUUCCCGGUGUAGAGGUGAAAUUCGUAGAUAUCAAGUGGAACACCAGUGGCGAAGGCGAGUCCCUGGACAACACCUGACACUGAGGCACGAAAGCUAGGGGAGCAAACAGG